CGUGAGCGUACUUUACUUGAUAAGUAACAGUUCGAUCGAGUAUGAGUGCGGGCUGUUUUGUUUGGUGUUGGAAGUAGCGAUGGCGGUGGGUACCUGCCUGACUAUAUUUACACGCACGUAGAUGUCUGCAGAAUUCUCUCUGCCACUGGCAGACCAUACCUUCGCAGUUGAGUGACUUUUCCCCUUUUUUUUUUAAUAUUUGUGUGUUUUUUUUAUCCGUCAUUGUUAUUAUUAUCAUUUAUUAUUAUCAUUAUUAUUAUUAUUAUUAUUAUUAUUAUUAUUAUUAUUAUUAUUAUUAUUAUUAUUAUUAUUAUUAUCAUUAUUAUUAUUGUUAUUAUUAUUGUUAUGUAAUCGACUUAACCACCCCCUUCCCGAAGUUAAUGGUCUUGUGCCAAAAUUUGAAAUCAUCCUCUCCUCAUCCUCCUCCUCAUCAUCAUCAUCGUCAUCGUCGCCGUCGUCAUCGUCGACGUCGUCAUUAUCAUCAUCAUCAUCAUCAUUUGUUAAUUUUUUUAAAAAUAUUUUUAUAUCGUAUUCUAUUAUUGCUUACUAUUAUUAUUAUUAUUAUUAUUAUUAUUAUUAUUAUUAUUAUUAUUAUUAUUAAUAUUGGCCUUGUCAUCAUCAUCGUCGUCGUCGUUGUCAUUAUUGUCAUCAUCAUUAUCAUCAUAAUCAUCAUCAUCAUCGUAAUCGUUACCACCCCCAUCGUCGUCGUCAUCGUCGCCAUCCCCGUCAUCGACGAGGGAUGACGACGCGGCAUCAACGUGUUCGUUUUACAACAAUCACAUCAACACCAAUGGCAACGGCGAUCUAAACAAACCAAACCAAACCAAAUCUACUACUACUACUACUAAUACUAAUACUACUAAUAAUAAUAAUAAUACUAAUACUAAUACUACUAAUACUAAUACUACUAAUACUACUAAUACUAAUACUAAUACUACUAAUACUAAUACUACUAAUACUAAUACUACUAAUACUACUAAUACUAAUACUAAUACUACUAAUACUACUAAUACUAAUACUAGUAAUACUAAUACAACCUAUACUAAUACUACUACAUAAUAAAAAAUAAAUAGCAAUAAACAAAUUACGCGUGCACCUGCUGCAACUACAACCACCACCACCACCACCACUACUACUACUACUACUACUACUACUACUACUACUACUACUACUACUGCUACUGCUACUACUACUACUAACUGUCGUGCUACCAAAGCUGUCGCUUACUAUGCAAUACAACUCCUUCUUUGCCUGCCAUCAUACUUCAUAACUCUAAACACCAUCACCGAGCGCACACAUCCAUCUCCAUACACACACACACACACACCCCUUCCGAAAUUCAUAACUCCACCCUAUACGGCAUUCUCCAACAAACUCACUCAGCUAUCACCACCACCACCACCACCACCACCAUUACCAUUACGCGUACUGCCGUCGAACUUAGCCGACCCCGCGUCUACCACUCCACCUCGCCUCACCACAUCAUUUCAUACUACUACUACAGCUAUUAGUAACUACUACUACUACUACUACUACUACUACUACUACUACUACUACUACUACUACUAUUACAACUGAAUAAUAAUAAUUAUAAUUGUAACUGAUUUCUCUUAUUUACCACAGGGUUAAAUAAUAAUAAUAAAAAUAUUAUUAUUAUUAUUAUUAUUAUUAUUAUUAUAGCAAUAACCCAAAUAAUCUACUACAGCUACUAAGCUACUAGUAGAUACUACUACUACUACUACUACUACUACUACUACUACUAGUGGGUAAUAAUUAUAGCCGUGAUUCCUUUCAUUUGCCACGGGGGCAAAUAAAUAUAAUAAUAAUAAUAAUAAUAAUAGUAAUAAUAAUAGUAGUAGUAAUAUUAAUAAUAAUAAUAGUAGUAGUAGUAGUAGUAAUAAUAAUAAUAAUAAUAAUAAUAAUAAUAAUAAUAAUAAUAAUAAUAAUAAUAAUAAUAAUAAUAAUGGUAUUCUACUACAGCUAUUUGUAAUAGUAGGUUUACUAGUAUUUAUAUUACCACUACUACUACUACUGCAGAUACUAAGCAGCUACUGCAUGUAGCAGUCAGUACUGCUACAACUACCAUUGGUACUAUCACUGCCAUUACUACUACCACUACUACUACUACUACUACCACCACCACCACUACAACUAUUACUACUACUACUACUAUAUACUGCAUUAAUUAUAGUGCGUCUAUCGACAAAGUAAGUAAAAACAAUGCCCAUGUAUUUCAGUUGCUAACACACAUACAUGCAUACAUACACACGUAUACACACAUAUGCACACAUAUAUGUACACACAAAUACGAACUCACACACAUGCAAGCAUGCAUAUGCACACAUAUACAUACACACGCACGCACAUGUCGGUGGAUCUUGUGAAUGCAUCCACAUGUCUCGAGCGUGUUCGUUUUUAAAUCUCUGACGACUCGAACCAAGGGGAAAAAACGUAAGCACCCACAACCAGGCCGAAACCGCGUCGCGCCGCACCGCACCGCACCUUAUACUUAUACCAUUCACGUUUGUCAAGUCGGCUACCCUCAACCACCCGUGUACCUCGAACUACGACCACCCAGGUACUAACUUACACCCAGCCAAUCCGCACACCUAUUCAUCCUUGCAACCGCAAACCACCCACCCCCUACUGACAACAACAACAACAUCAAUAACGGCAACACAAGCAGUUGAAUCGCUACCAUCGACAGUACGCGCAUUGGGAGACGAAUAAGGAGUCACUCCCCACCCCCACACACUAUUACACAUACAUACAUACAUACAUACUUACUUACAUACAUACACACGCGCACACAUAAAUAUAUACAUAUAUAUAUAUAUAUAUAUAUAUAUAUAUAUAUAUAUAUAUACAUAUAUAUAUAUAUACAUACAUACAUAUAUAUAUAUAUACAUAUAUAUAUAUUUAAAGGCUAAAACAAUGCGAAGCGCAUUGUGACCGGCGAUGUGUAGCAACAUCUGAUAGCCUAGUCGGUCACGGUGAUACAUAUAUAUAUAUAUAUAUAUAUAUACACACAAACAUACAUACAUACAUACAUAUAUAUAUAUAUAUAUAUAUAUAUAUAUAUAUAGGCAAUAGUUUUGAUGCACGAACAAUACUAAAAAUUAUACAUACAUACAUACAUACAUACAUACAUACAUACAUACAUACAUACGUACGUGCGUACUGUACUUAUACACAUGCACAGAAGCAUAUAACCGCACGCGCAUAUGCAAUUACUGCUUCGUGAACUUAAAUGAUUUCCACCACCACCACCACCAACACAGCUGCCACGAAAGAGAAGGCCACCACCGCCGCCAGCUCCACCCACCGCCUCCGCCGCCGCCGCCGCCGCCAUCGUCAACACUACAUCACUUUAUCACUACCACCGCAACCACUACGACUACUGCCGCUAUUACUACAAAUAACAUAAACCAUCAGCAUUACGGUGACAUACCACUCCCUUUGCUUAAAACGAAGAGGAAAAAGAAAUUUUAUUUUUUUUAACAAAAUAAAUAACAAGGGUCGAGGAAUUCAUCAUAGAAACCGGAAGUCAUUAUUAUUAUCAUCAUCAUCAUCAUCAUCAUCAUCAUCAUCAUCAUCUUUAUUAUUAUCACCAUUAUUAUUAUUUAUUAUUAUUAUUAUUAUUAUUAUUAUUAUUAUUAUUAUAAGAAAAAAAAGAUGAAAUCGUCUCUGUGAAUCCAUUUCGCCAGAAUAACGCUAUUUCUUCUAUUAAUAUCAAUCUACCUUCUAUGAUUCCACCAGAUACAACACAUACGCCGUCGCCGCCAUCUUCGCCAUCAACGUCGUCGUCGUCAUCGUCGUCGUCGUCAUCAUCAUCAUCAUCAUCAUCAUUAUGAUUAUCACCACCAUGAUCAUCAUCAUCAUCACCACCAACAGGCAUUAUUAUUAAAAAAAAAAAAUUAACAACAACAACAACACAAGCAACAGCGACAUCAAUAUAGCCACACAACCGGCAAAUAUCACCGCCACAACAAACACACAACCACAACCGGUAAAAAAAAAAAAAAAAACAAUAACAACAACGACAACUACAACAACAAUAAUAACAGCAUUAACAAUAACAAUAACAAUAGUAAAUAACAGUAAGAAAACAACAGCCGCUGUAAUGUUCAUGUUUUUGCAUUGCUUUCUAUCGGUACCAUGAAAAAUUUAUCCGAGGAAUAUAACAAACUAGCGGAAGUCAACAAGCUCCAUCG
rnacentral:lncRNA from 1 species